rnacentral:rRNA from 1 species
AACGAACGCUGGCGGCAGGCUUAACACAUGCAAGUCGAACGCAUCGCAAGAUGAGUGGCAGACGGGUGAGUAACGCGUGGGAACAUACCCUUUUCUACGGAAUAGCUCUGGGAAACUGGAAUUAAUACCGUAUACGCCCUACGGGGGAAAGAUUUAUCGGGGAAGGAUUGGCCCGCGUUGGAUAGCUAGUUGGUGGGGUAAAGGCCUACCAAGGCGACGAUCCAUAGCUGGUCUGAGAGGAUGAUCAGCCACAUUGGGACUGAGACACGGCCCAAACUCCUACGGGAGGCAGCAGUGGGGAAUAUUGGACAAUGGGCGCAAGCCUGAUCCAGCCAUGCCGCGUGAGUGAUGAAGGCCUUAGGGUUGUAAAGCUCUUUCACCGAUGAAGAUAAUGACGGUAGUCGGAGAAGGAGCCCCGGCUAACUUCGUGCCAGCAGCCGCAGUAACAC